UACGAAGGGGGCUAGCGUUGCUCGGAAUCACUGGGCGUAAAGCGCACGUAGGCGGACUCUUAAGUCGGUGGUGAAAUCCUGGAGCUCAACUCCAGAACUGCCUUCGAUACUGAGAGUCUCGAGUCCGGGAGAGGGAUGCGGAAUUCCAGGUGUAGCGGUGAAAUGCGUAGAUAUCUGGAGGAACACCGGUGGCGAAGGCGGCAUCCUGGACCGAGAUUGACGCUGAGGCGCGAAAGCCAGGGGAGCAAACGGG
rnacentral:rRNA from 1 species